UACGUAGGGUGCAGGCGUUAAUCGGAAUUACUGGGCGUAAAGCGUGCGCAGGCGGUUUGCUAAGACAGGUGUGAAAUCCCCGGGCUUAACCUGGGAACUGCCUUUGUGACUGCAAGGCUUGAGUGCGGCAGAGGGGGAUGGAAUUCCGCGUGUAGCAGUGAAAUGCGUAGAUAUGCGGAGGAACACCGAUGGCGAAGGCAAUCCCCUGGGCCUGCACUGACGCUCAUGCACGAAAGCGUGGGGAGCAAACAGG
rnacentral:rRNA from 1 species